rnacentral:rRNA from 1 species
AUUGAACGCUGGCGGAAUGCUUUACACAUGCAAGUCGAGCGGCAGCGCGGGGGCAACCCUGGCGGCGAGCGGCGAACGGGUGAGUAACAUAUCGGAACGUACCCUGUCGUGGGGGAUAACUAUCCGAAAGGAUAGCUAAUACCGCAUACGACCUGAGGGUGAAAGCGGGGGACCGCAAGGCCUCGCGCGAUAGGAGCGGCCGAUAUCGGAUUAGCUAGUUGGUGAGGUAAAGGCUCACCAAGGCGACGAUCCGUAGCGGGUCUGAGAGGACGACCCGCCACACUGGAACUGAGACACGGUCCAGACUCCUACGGGAGGCAGCAGUGGGGAAUUUUGGACAAUGGGGGCAACCCUGAUCCAGCCAUUCCGCGUGAGUGAAGAAGGCCUCGGUU